ensembl:lncRNA
AUGGGAUCUCCUGUUGGUCAGUCAUUAAGUCAUAUCUGACUCUUUGCAACCCCAUGGACUGCAGCACACCAGGCUUCCCUGUCCUUCACUCUCUCCUGGACAGGGAGACGCCAACUCAAAUUCAUGUCCACUGAGUUGGUGAUGCUAUCUAAGCAUCUUAUCCUCUGCCACCCUCUUCUCUUUUGGCCUUCAAUCUUUCCCAGCAUCAGUUUUUCCCAAUGAGUUGGCUCUUCUCAUCAGAUGAAAAAGGGAGACAAACCCAUGAAGGGAUAUGUGAUGAGCGUUGUCUCAGGGACUGGAUUUGAGGACAUCUCUGGAGUUGUUCACUCUGUGUUGCCUUCAUUAUCUGAUCUUUGUACAUGUCAGAACUAUGGAGCCAGCCAGGAGGAAAAGACAGUGGGGGAACAGUGUGCUCGAGUUUUGUAUUUUGAUAGUUAGAAAAUUAAAUAGUCAUAUUGCUCCCCAUAUAAGACAAGAGAUUUGGAUCCUUUUUCCUUUUUAAUUCUUUUUCUCACAUAUGCUAAAAAUGCUCUGAGGAAAGCCAUGAAAUGUAACAUGAGUAUUAAUGCCUUUGGCCACAGCAGUUUUUGCUCCUACUUAUAAUUAAAUGGAGGAAAGUAUCUUUUUACUGAUUUAUGAAGUAACAUUAAUAAAGACACACGUAUCACCACCUACGGAUCAAAGCAAAACACGCAUGAGGGCCGUGAAAGCUUAAACAUUUCCUCCCCAAUAUUGUUGGAAGAUCCCUUUGGUUUUUCACUGGAUGAAGGAGCAGUUCCCUUGACAACCAGCUUUCUGAACAGACUGCCUAUACCUCAGUGUUCUACAGCUUGCUGUAAAAGUCAAAGUGCGAUAUUCUUACAAGAUGCACAUAAAUUUACUAAGGAGUGACUUUAUGAUUUUUAGAUGAUGUCUACUAGACACGGCAGAGAAGAUGUUAGCUAACUAAGAAAACGGAGGUCCUAAAUCCUUAGCCUUCAGGACUAAGAACUGAAAGUUCUCAAAUUUACACUUGUUCCUUAAAUAAAAAUUGCCAUUUCUUUGUGAUUAUC